GCUGCUUUGGUGUAAUGGCUAGCAUUCGAGCCUUCCAAGCUCGAGAUCGGGGUUCAAUUCCCCGGAGCUGCA
rnacentral:tRNA from 1 species